rnacentral:rRNA from 1 species
AACGAACGCUGGCGGCAGGCUUAACACAUGCAAGUCGAACGCCCCGCAAGGGGAGUGGCAGACGGGUGAGUAACGCGUGGGAAUCUACCGAUCCCUACGGAACAACUCGGGGAAACUGGAGCUAAUACCGUAUACGCCCUUAGGGGGAAAGGUUUACCGGGGAUGGAUGAGCACGAGGUGGAUUAGCUAGUUGGUGGGGUAAAGGCCUACCAAGGCGACGAUCCAUAGCUGGGCUGAGAGGAUGAUCAGCCACAUUGGGACUGAGACACGGCCCAAACUCCUACGGGAGGCAGCAGUGGGGAAUAUUGGACAAUGGGCGCAAGCCUGAUCCAGCCAUGCCGCGUGAGUGAUGAAGGCCUUAGGGUUGUAAAGCUCUUUCACCGAUGAAGAUAAUGACGGUAGUCGGAGAAGAAGCCCCGGCUAACUUCGUGCCAGCCGCCGCUGUAAUAC